UACGUACUGUGCGAACGUUAUUCAGAAUCACUGGGCUUAAAGGGUGCGUAGGCGGCCUGUUAAGUAGGGUGUGAAAUGCCAGAGCUCAACUUUGGCAUUGCGCUCUAGACUGGCUGGCUUGAGUGAGAUAGGGGUGUGCGGAACUUCCAGUGGAGCGGUGAAAUGUGUUGAUAUUGGAAGGAACGCCGGUGGCGAAAGCGGCACACUGGGUCUUUUCUGACGCUGAGGAACGAAAGCUAGGGGAGCAAACGGG
rnacentral:rRNA from 1 species